AGAUGGAGACUCCUAAAGCAGGCUUGGGAAAAGACAGACAGUGCAGAAGAAGCCUGGUGGCUCAAGAGGAGAGAGACCUGAGAGGCAGAGCUCUCUAACAGAGUGAGGAAGAAGAUUUUGGACACUGUAACCCCGGAAGGGGUAGGAGAGCUAAGUGUACAGACCACUGAUGUCUUGAGCAGAAACAGGGAGGUGCUAUAGCUGAAAUGCCAGGACUUGCCACAGGAAGUUGCUCCAGGAUGGAACGGUAAUAAGAAUAAACACCAACAUGGGCCACAAACUUACGCUCUUCCUUUGGUAUGCGAUCCAUAGUAACACCACAGCAGAAGACAGCCUACCACUGAAACAGGAAAAGAAUGACCAGAACUGCUACUGACACCUCACAGCCUUUCAAAGCAGCCCCGCUGGCACCUCACUGAACUCUAUGAAUGUAUAGAUCAGAUUUCAGAUCAUUCAUUAAUUUGUUUCAGACAUAGGAAACAUCAGACUGGACUAGACCAGGGGUCCAGCUAGCACAACAUCCUGUCACCGACAAUGGCCAGCUCCAGAUGUUUCAAAGGAAGGUGCAAGAAAUCCCACAACAGGCAAUUGUGGAGUAACCUUCCUCUAUGGGAAAUUUCUAUCUAAUCAACUCUCCAACACCACCUACUAUGAAGAACUCAAAGAAGACCCCACACCACAGGAAUUUAAGGAUAUCAUCAAAUCCUUCCCCCAAACAACUCCAAGAGAAACUCUACAAACUCAUCCCUCAAGAACCCACCACUGGGACCUUCUACAUGGUUCCCAAGAUACACAAACAAGGAAACCCAGGCAGACACAUCAUAUCAGCAACAGUACUCUCAGUGAAGGAAUAUUGGGACUCCUAGAAACCAUCUUCAAACCGGUCACCACACAAAAAAACUUCCUCCAGGACACAAUCAACCCACAAACUCCAGAACAUCAACAAUUUCCCUUGGGACGCCAUCUUUGCCAUCAUGGAUGUCACUUCCUUAUACACCAAUAUCCCCCACAAUGACAGCAUCGCUGCCUGCCUCAAAUAUUUACAAGACACUGGACAACACUGAGAUCUCCACCCUGAACACAUCGCCAAACUCAUCCAUUUCAUCCUGACCCAUAACAACUUUACAUUCAACAACAAACAUUUUGUUGAAACCAUCGGAACAGCCAUGGGUACUAGCAUGGCUCCCCGAUAUGCCAUCCUCUUCAUGGUCCACUUGAAGAAUUUCUGGACAAAUGCACCAGAAAACCACUGAUAAACCUAAGAUAAGUCUAUAAUAUUUUCAUCCUCUGGACAGAUGACCUAAACUCCCUCAUAGAUUUUCACCACAACUUCAACAGCCACCAUCUGUCCAUUAAAUUCUGUUUGGAAAACUCCCACACUAGCAUCAACUUCCUGGACACCAGAGUCAGUUUCAACAAUGGAACCCUACAGAUAACUAUGUACAAGAAACCCACAGAUCACCACACUUACCUCCACAAAUCUAGCAACCACCUCAAACACACCAAGAAAGUUAUCUACAGCCAGGCACUCUGAUAGCACAGAAUAUGCUCUAAGGAGAAAGUCCAGGAUAUACACCUUAGUGCACUGAAAACUGCCUUCAAACAAGAACACUCCACCAGAGAAGUGGAUCACAUCAUGGAACCAGCCCGGAGUGGACCUGCUUCAAUACAGAAAUAAAACACCCUCUGACCUCACACCCCUCCCUGUCACCUACCACCCCUUACUGGAACCCAUAAGAAGCAUCAUCAAAUAAAUACAACCCAUGCUCAGUGGGAAUCCAUCCUGAAAGAAAUCUUUCCUGAAUGCCCUAUGCUGGCCUUCAAAACAAUCCCCUAGGCUCCCUCUCCAAGCUCAUCAGAAGCAAGCUCCCCAUAGACUAGGACACAUCAACUCACAGCUGCACCAGACCCCACCAAAACAACAGAUGCAAAACCUGCAGACAUAUCUCCACUGCUGCAAUGAUCAACCCCUACUUCCAUUGCUAUCAUAAUAUGUCGUAUACCUCAUUCAGUGCACUAACAUGCCCAAUAAUAACUAUGUGAGUGAAACCAACAAUCACUACCAUCUCGAAUGAAC